rnacentral:rRNA from 1 species
AUGACUUAUAUUAUAAGUCUAACAAUGGGCACCAUCGAGAGAGGAGGCCAGCGCAGUGAUGUGGUGCUCGCCGCGGCAUGGAUCGGAAAGCGCGAUCAUGUCCGGGCGCCAAGCAAGCAGGAUACCCCCACAGGUCCCAUCCGCGGGAAGGAAGAAAAACUCAGAGAAGGACGAGCCGAGCGUCUCAGUGACAAGCGAGGACGAGAGAGAAACCAUCUUAGUCUCUUGGAUGCAAACAAUACAAGGCGAGGCAGCGGUGAUCACGCUGCGAACGGCGGUGCGCUUGGCCGGGGCAUUAAGGUCACGCACGUUCCAGAAUACAAUGCGAAGGUUGUGAUCCAUGGAGAAAGGUGGAGUCCCGCGGUGGCCUAG